rnacentral:rRNA from 1 species
CAAUAGCGUAUAUUAAAGUUGUUGCAGUUAAAAAGCUCGUAGUUGGAUUUGUGGCGUAUGGUGUGUUCCGGGCACUUGUUGUCUGAGUAACUUGCCAUUGCCAUCCUUGGGUGGAACCUGUGUGGCAUUAGGUUGUCGUGCAGGGGAUGCCCAUCGUUUACUGUGAAAAAAUUAGAGUGUUCAAAGCAGGCUUAUGCCGUUGAAUAUAUUAGCAUGGAAUAAUAAGAUAGGACUUUUUUGCUAUUUUGUUGGUUUGCGCGAGAAGGUAAUGAUUAAUAGGGACAGUCGGGGACAUUCGUAUUUCAUUGUCAGAGGUGAAAUUCUUGGAUUUAUGAAAGACGAACUUCUGCGAAAGCAUUUGUCAAGGAUGUUUUCAUUA